GACAGAGGGUGCAAACGUUAUUCGGAAUUACUGGGCGUAAAGGGCGCGUAGGCGGUUUAUUAAGUUCGUUGUUAAAGGCUCCGGCCCAACCGGAGUAUUGCGAUGAAAACUGGUAAACUAGAGGAUGAGAGAGAGAAGUGGAAUUCCCGGAGUAGCGGUAAAAUGCGUGGAUCUCGGGAGGAACACCAAUGGCGAAGGCAGCUUCUUGGCUCAUAUCUGACGUUGAGGCACGAAAGCGUGGGGAGCAAACAGG
rnacentral:rRNA from 1 species